rnacentral:rRNA from 1 species
GAUGAACGCUAGCGGCAGGCUUAAUACAUGCAAGUCGAGGGGCAGCACAGGUAGCAAUACUGGGUGGCGACCGGCAAACGGGUGCGGAACACGUACACAACUUACCUUAGAGUGGGGGAUAGCCCAGGGAAACUUGGAUUAAUACCCCAUAAAACAGGGGGCCCGCAUGGGCAUAUUGUUAAAGAUUUAUCGCUUUAAGAUGGGUGUGCGUAUGAUUAGGUAGUUGGUAGGGUAAAGGCCUACCAAGCCGACGAUCAUUAACUGGUGUGAGAGCACAACCAGUCAACCGGGCACUGGGACACGGGCCCGACUCCUACGGGAGGCAGAAGUAAGGAAUAUUGGUCAAUGGACGGAAGUCUGAACCAGCCAUGCCGCGUGAAGGAUGAAGGUCCUCUGGAUUGUAAACUUCUUUUAUAGGGGGCGAAAAAGGGCCUUUUUAGGUCUACUGACGGUACCCUAUGAAUAAGCACCGGCUAACUCCGUGCCAGCAGCCGCCGUAA